UACGUAGGGUGCGAGCGUUGUCCGGAAUUAUUGGGCGUAAAGAGCUUGUAGGUGGUUUGUCGCGUCUGCUGUGAAAUUUCGGGGCUCAACCCCGAACUUGCAGUGGGUACGGGCAGACUAGAGUGUGGUAGGGGAGACUGGAAUUCCUGGUGUAGCGGUGAAAUGCGCAGAUAUCAGGAGGAACACCGAUGGCGAAGGCAGGUCUCUGGGCAUUAACUGACGCUGAGGAGCGAAAGCAUGGGGAGCGAACAGG
rnacentral:rRNA from 1 species